UAAAAGUAAGUCUCAGUUCGGAUUGAAGGCUGAAAUUCGCCUACAUGAAGCUGGAAUUGCUAGUAAUGGCAGGUCAGCAUACUGCCGUGAAUACGUUCCCGGGCCUUGUACACACCGCCCGUCACACCAUGAGAGUUGGGGAUACCCGAAGCCUGUGAGCCAACUGUAAAGAGGCAGCAGUCGAAGGUAGAAUCAAUGAUUGGGGUGAAGUCGUAACAAGGUAUC
rnacentral:rRNA from 1 species